CCCCAAAGCUUCAAACCCCAACGCGCCAACCAACCCUGAAACUUCAACCCCAAAACCACAGCCAACCCCAACACUUCAACCAAUCCCAUCAACCAACCCCAACACUUCAACCAAUCCCAUCAACCAACCCCAACACUUCAACCAAUCCCAUCAAUCAACCCCAACACGUCAACCAAUCCCAUCAAUCAACCCCAACACGUCAACCAACCUCGACAGGUCAACCAACCUCGACAGGUCAACCAACCCCAACCCAUCAACCUCAACACGUCAACCAAUCCCAUCACGUCAACCCCAACGCAUCAACCAACCCCAAACUUCAAUCAACCUCAACGUGUCAACCCCAACACGUCAACUAACCCCAUCAACCAAUACCAACACAUCAACCCCAACCUGGCAACUAACC